rnacentral:rRNA from 1 species
AGUGAACGCUGGCGGCAGGCCUAAUACAUGCAAGUCGAACGGCAGCACAGCAGAGCUUGCUCUGUGGGUGGCGAGUGGCGGACGGGUGAGGAAUACGUGGGAAUCUGCCCAGUCGUGGGGGAUAACGUAGGGAAACUUACGCUAAUACCGCAUGCGCCCUUCGGGGGAAAGCCGGGGGACCUUCGGGCCUGGCGCGAUUGGAUGAGCCCACGUCGGAUUAGCUAGUUGGCGGGGUAAAGGCCCACCAAGGCGACGAUCCGUAGCUGGUCUGAGAGGAUGAUCAGCCACACUGGAACUGAGACACGGUCCAGACUCCUACGGGAGGCAGCAGUAGGGAAUAUUGGACAAUGGGCGCAAGCCUGAUCCAGCCAUGCCGCGUGAGUGAAGAAGGCCCUCGGGUUGUAAAGCUCUUUUGUCCGGAAGAAAGCGACCGGGUUAAUACCCUGGUGUCCUGACGGUA